UUUUAUCCGAUACUAGUAACCAUUCGAUGGUUAUCACGCUACACUUGUAGUCAGGGUUAAGUCAACAAAAAUUACUUUGGUUACCAAACAAGCUGGUCUGAAUUUUCAUCGACUUGGUUUCAUGGUUUUUCAAAUUUAUCUAUAAUUAUGAUUUCCUGUGUAAAGUCUGUGAUUUUAAUUUCUUAUUGAUUAUUUGUCUCACGAUCAUCCAAUUCCAUCUUUUUACUCUUUAAAGCUGGUAAUGGAAAUAAAAAUUUCUAGUUCUGAAAAGACUUCUUCCGACGUGAACGA